rnacentral:rRNA from 1 species
GAUGAACGCUAGCUACAGGCUUAACACAUGCAAGUCGCGGGGCAGCAUGGGGGUUGCUUGCAAUCCCCGAUGGCGACCGGCGCACGGGUGAGUAACGCGUAUCCAACCUGCCCUUCACCACGGGAUAACCCGGCGAAAGUCGGACUAAUACCGUAUGUUGUCCAUUGACGGCAUCCGAUUUGGACGAAAGGCUUGGCGGUGAGGGAUGGGGAUGCGUCCGAUUAGCCAGACGGCGGGGUAACGGCCCACCGUGGCUACGAUCGGUAGGGGUUCUGAGAGGAAGGUCCCCCACACUGGAACUGAGACACGGUCCAGACUCCUACGGGAGGCAGCAGUGAGGAAUAUUGGUCAAUGGGCGUAAGCCUGAACCAGCCAAGUAGCGUGCAGGAUGACGGCCCUAUGGGUUGUAAACUGCUUUUAUGCGGGGAUAAAGUGGCCCACGUGUGGGCUUUUGCAGGUACCGCAUAAAUAAGGACCGGCUAAUUCCGUG